GUUUUACCCCCUCCGUUCGGAAUUACCCGUCCAAGAAAUGAAUGUAUCUAGAUAUAUUUUAGUUGUACAUACAUUCAUUUUUAUUCAUUUUUGUGACAAGUAAUUCCGAACGGAGGGAGUAUCAU
rfam:Triticum aestivum genome assembly, contig: Triticum_aestivum_CS42_TGACv1_scaffold_592877_7BS